rnacentral:siRNA from 1 species
GGGUAGCCAGAUUAGAUAUUACC